GAGCUUUUUUUUUUAGUGUUAGAUGUUAAUUCCCUAGUAAUGCUACUUAGAGCAGUUAUUCAAGCAACAACAAAGCAGGAAGUGGCUGAAAAGUGGACUGCAAGUCCCCCGGAAGUGGGGAGCACAGUGUGUGGCAUGGCUGGAGGGCUGUGUUGCUGAAGAGGACGCUGCGUUCCUUGGAGAGAUGUGGGUCCAAGCGUGAGAGUCACAGCAGCAAUACGCCAUCCAAAGGGGGUGCUCUCAACCACAGAGCUAAUUCUCAAGACAGGCUGAGGAAGCGCCAGAGUGCUGUCAUAGCCGCUGCAGAAAAUACACCUGAUGCAUACUCUUCAUAUUUCAGAGUCCUACUACGACUUUUAUGAGCCAGGAAAUCCAGUUGCUCCAUUGUAGAUGUUGGUUUGGUUUUGUGGACAAAUAUCAACUGAAAUAAUGUCAAGAGAAGAAAAAGAGGCUACUUGGCUUACCUGCUUGCCAACUUGUGAAGAAACUACAGUGGGAGGCAGCUGAAAAGAGGGAAGGAAGAAUCAGUGAA